rnacentral:ribozyme from 1 species
CCCCCGCGGAGGCGCCACCUCUACGCGGUGCGGGGGAGGCAACUGCUCAGUAUGGAGCAGGCUGAGAGCGCC